rnacentral:tRNA from 1 species
GAACCCGUGGCUCAAUGGUAGAGCGUUCGACUCAAAUACCAAGGGUCGCGGGUUCGAAUCCUACGGGCCCG